CCUACGGGUGGCAGCAGUGAGGAAUCUUGGUCAAUGGACGAGAGUCUGAUCCAGCCACGUAGCGUGAAGGAUUACUGCCCUAUGGGUUGUAAACUUCUUUUAUAUGGGAAUAAAAUGUUCCACGUGUGGGAUUUUGUAUGUACCAUAUGAAUAAGGUUCGGCUAACUCCGUGCCAGCAGCCGCGGUAAUACGGAGGAUCCAAGCGUUAUCCGGAUUUAUUGGGUUUAAAGGGAGCGUAGGUGGAUUGUUAAGUCAGUUGUGAAAGUUUGCGGCUCAACCGGAAAAUUGCAGUUGAAACUGGCAGUCUUGAGUACAGGAGAGGUAGGCGGAAUUCGUGGUGUAGCGGUGAAAUGCUUAGAUAUCACGAAGAACACUGAUGGCGAAGGCAGCUCACUGGACUGCAACUGACACUGAGGCUCGAAAGUGUGGGUAUCAAACAGGAUUAGAUACCCGGGUAGUC
rnacentral:rRNA from 1 species